GCUUACGGCCACACCUCCCUGAGCACUCUGAUCUCGGAAGCUAAGCAGGGUCGGGCCCGGUUAGUACUUGGAUGGGAGACCGCCUGGGAAUACCAGGUGCUGUAAGCC
rnacentral:rRNA from 1 species